GGCUUGUUCCGUUCAAAAGUUUGCAGACGCACGGAACCCGGAGGCAGCGUGACUCCGGGAGAAGGGGGCGAGGAGAGCGAUUUAGAAGAAAGAAAGGAGGCGAUGAGCUAAAGGGGAUGGAGAAAGGGGGAGGAGGGCGCAAAGUGGCCUCACGUAAUGAUCGGUAUCAGAAAAAGACGUCAGCAUCCUAGUCCCUCAAGGAACAUAUUAACUAUUCUGUGCUGUCCUCUUGGAUGAUAAGAUCCGGAGUCAUCGACUUCUCCUAAACACCUUUCACUCAUACAAUCCAAUUUUUAAGAAGUCCAAUUAUUUGGAUGGUUUACAGUUUCGCCCAUUUCUCAAGGACAGGUAAAGAAUACGUAGAAUCUGGAGGAUGAUAGAAAGUUAUGUUUUUAACCCUGUCUCUACUGCUUACUCUUUACUUUUUCAUCAAGCCCUGCCAAUCCGAACUCUGGUAUCUGGAAUUAAGGACCAUCAAGCUCUCCUAUUAAUCAAUUUAAUUUAGAUCUAAUUUUUUGCGUAUGUUCUUUCAGAUAGAACAAUUAAAUGUGGAAGUCGUUUUGUUUCUAAAGGGAAAUCUUGGAGGAUUUUCAGUAAAUCUCUAAUGAGUCUGACUGUCGUUGACAGUCUGGCUAUACCAGUAGAUUGAUUAGCGCUAAGGCUUCCACCGGUUUGUGGCCUAUGGAGCUGUCCAGGCUCCAGGUGCUGAACUGCUUAGGCGCAGAUGCUGCAAACGUCGAAAAUUGCCACCAGAUCUUCUCAAUCUGAAGAUUUGGCAGUGGUGCUAUUAAUGUAGCAAUUCAUUCUCUAAAUCACCAUGCUGUUCAGAUACACUCGCCACCUUGCAGUAUUCAUGAAUGCCCCAGUCCCAAAGACCAUCUCUCUUCCUGCCUACAUUUGAGUGAAGGGUGCUUUAUGUCUCUCCCUGGUCCUGGUAUUUUAUCUCUAGCUUACCUAUUUGGGCACAUUCACACCUUCUGUGCCUCUUACUGGUUUUAAAAAUUGAAAUUGUCUCUUUCCACAUGAACUGAAGUUUUAAGAAGCCGAGGAUGAGAAAUGUUUUUUACACUCUCUUUACAACUUGAGUUCCAUUUGGGGAAAUAGCAGACAGACUGGGAGAGCACAGGGAUUCCCAGUACAAAUUCACUGGCUCAUGGUUUAUAACGGGAAUCCCUCCAUUAGGAACAGUUAAUUUUGUUUUACUGAAAAUAAUGUGGGAAGACCACAUCCAUCCUGAGGCUUCCAAGUCUCUGGGAAAUUUAAGAAGAGUCCCAAGUUUCCACUCCAGUAAGAGAGAACUCAGGUCUAUUUCUUUUAAGAAGGAAAUAGAGCCAUCAAUAACCAUUAGUGUGCAUUUUAAUUAUUUGGAUCUUACACAAAAACCAGGGGAAAUGACAAUUUAGUGAGAGUGUUUCCUGUUGCUAUCAUUUGGCCCUAACAUUUAAACAAGUUGUUUUAGUUCUUGCAUGCUUUUUCCAAGACAUAAUGUUUCUCACACUCAACGCCAUUCCUGCUUUUAUUUGAGCUUUAGUACUUCCUCCAAGAAGACAAAGUUUUGCUCAUUCAUGACCAUGAAUGGCCAGAAACUGCCUGCUUCCUCUUAGUUUAUUCCUGGCCAUGCUCCAGAUUGCUGGCCUUCAAUGAAGCUCCCAACCACAUCUACACGGGGACACAUCUCUUUAUCCUGGCUACAUAUGUGCACUGAUUUAUGUCAGAGUGUUGACACGCAUGUGUUCCCCAUUUAGCUCUGCCUCGGCAGCAAGCUCGCACACAAAGAGCCUGCGGUGAACACAACCAGAUAAUACAGCAGAGACGCCUUCUUGCUAAAGUGCCCAAAGCAUUGCCAACUGUGGCUUUCCUGUCUUCCAACUUGCUCCACGACAAAGGUGAACCCUAUUAAAAUCCUCACUCUUUCUUCCCAUGCGAAUUCCGAAAUGAGUUCAAUCUGGAGAAAUAUGUGAGAAAAUUGCAAGACUCCUUGUACAAUUCACUACUCAACUUUAGUAAAGGGAGCCACCAUGUGGGGAGUUUGUUGACUUCACGGCCUAUUAAAGAGCAAAAACCACAAACAUGAUGAAAUCCUUGGGGAGGAGGAUGGAUGCGGGCUUCAGGGGCCCAUAAACACAAAACUGCACCUCUGGCAUGCAAAAGCCUUGCCACUCAAGUACUUAAACUCUUCCCAGUGUAGGCACUCUCAGUGUGAAAGUGGGGGCUCGGCAUCCCGAAAAUCACAGACCUCAAGGGCUGAUCCCACUCACUGGAGCGAAAAGUCGAAGCAGAAAACCUGAGAGUCUUUGUCACUGGAUUUCAGAAACCAAGCUUUGGAGCCCCAUCUAUUGCACAAGGCAAGCCUCGCCCAACCUGGCUACCCAACAGCUGCCUGGGGCAUCGAACCCCCUACAGCCUCAUCCGCAGAUUUUUCGUUGCCUGUGAGCAGGUGUGAGUUUGGUGUUUCACGACCAUUCCUAUUCCUGGAAGUUCUGGACCUGGGUCCCUGGGGGAGGAGGGUAGGCAGAGGCGGCUAAGGGAAGAGGAGAAACCAGAAGCUGAGGAUAGAUCUGCGAACUGCGGGUCGGGAGCUGCAGCAGUCUCACCCACUCUCCCAACGUGAGCGCAGGCUUUCUCUGUUUUCCGUCGGGUGGAAGGGAAUAUGAGGAGAGCAAUGUCAGAGAACGAAACUGCCCUCGCGCGUCCCCUCUCUCCUGAAUGUAGGAAUUUGCCCCGCAUCUACGGGGUUUUUUGUCUGGGACCUGUGGGUGAAGCGAGGUCAAGGCCUGUAAGAGCAGAACCAGCCCGCACGCGCUUUCCAGGCACCUGUACCAAGUUUCCCUCCCAAAGGGAUUGUUACGUCCUUCUGCAGCGGCUGAGGUUAAGUACGUGAACGAAACCUGAGAUCUCCCGUUCCUAAAAACGACGCGAGAGGGGGGCUAAGAAGGGAUCAAAGAGCUUGUACUUAUUGACAUAUAAUGCAAAGGAAUUUCAAGGCUUCUUUCCAACACACCCACGCCUCACCCCAGCCUUCCUCUGAAGAAUGUCCCUCCCUCUAAGCUUUUGUUAGGUGGAUUCUGUUUAGCUAGCAAAGUUAGAGAAACCUGAGAAAUCUUCUCAGUGCUGGGUUCCCCCCUCCUCCACCCUCCAAGGCUCUCUUUGUGUUCUCGGUGAGGCAUGGGAACCUACCUGCAAGAAGCUGUUUAAAAUGUGAUGAGUAAUGAGUCACUUCAUACUGAUUACACCUGUCGGGAGACCCAAAUGUUCUGCAGCAGAGCAUCAUGACCACCGCUUACUGGACUGCCUGCAUCAUGCUCUUCUGAACUAGGAGUGGAGUACAGAGCUGAUGAGCUCCCCCAUAGUGUGUCACGGCUUCUCUGACCUUCAGAACUUAGUGCUUCACCCUCUCUGAAAACAUCCAGCAAAAGAAGGCUUUCCAAACCACACAGCAAAGUGCUUCUCUCCAAUCCACAACCAGAACUGCAUACUCACAAGGCCGAGAAAAUUUUGCUGGUUAUUUUAAGACACAAAGCAGACAAAAACGGAAAAUAGGUCCUAACCUUUUCUGUUGGCUUGGGUGAUUUCAAGUACCCCAAAUAUAUGCCAUUCUAAGGCCUUACUCACUGAACAUUAGUUUGCCGGGUACCAAAAAUAUAUACCCUGGACUUCACUAUGUGGCAUCUGCCAAGUUCUCCUGAGAUUUCCAGAACAUCUCUUAAAAGCCAAGAAGAAAGUUCUAUAGCAGUCUAAAUCCUCUGCUCUUGUAUGGCUCAAACGUGAGAGGAGAAGUUUGGAGAGGAUCCAGGAAACCCAGUAUCCUAAAUGAGUUUUUGAGACAGCUGUGAUAAUAUUGGAGGAGGAUAUCUGUGUGCAAAAUAAAACAAGGCUUUUAUGGGUAAAUAAAAAGAGGAUCUUGCUCAAGGAGCUCAUAACAUUCCAAACCUCUGGCCCCUGGGCUCAGAUUCAGCCUUAUCGAUCUGUGAAUAUAGGUCUAUUUGGAAUAAUCAUGGAGCCUUUGUUUUUUGUUAUCCUUAUUAGUAGCACUUUGUGGUAAUUAUAUAUUUGCAAAUACUUUUUUUUCAAUAAUAUUUUAUUGCUACCCAAAUAUACAUAGGCAUGAUUUUUUAAAGCUAUCAUCUGCUUAGAAUACAAUUAUAUGUGUCAUGAGUUUA